rnacentral:rRNA from 1 species
UACGGGGGGGGGCAAGCGUUAUUCAGUAUAACUAGGCGUAAAGGGCGCGUAGGCGGCUGGGGAAGUCGGCGGUGAAAGCCCGGAGCUCAACUCCGGGUCGGCCGUCGAGACUCCUCGGCUCGAGCUCACUAGAGGCAGAUGGAAUUCCGGGUGUAGCGGUGGAAUGCGUAGAGAUCCGGAAGAACACCGGUGGCGAAGGCGGGU